rnacentral:lncRNA from 1 species
CUGGGGCCAAGCACAAAGCAGCUUCCCAGUAAAUACAAAGAGUUCAACUCCACUGAUCGAGAAGACUCAGGGCCUCAUGGCCUUGCUUUGCACCCCCGCCCCUCUGACUGCAGGGGGCUUGUGUCUUCUGGUGUCUUUGACUCAGUGGGGCAUGAAGCACAGAGCUCAAGGCUGGUGGGGGCCCCUCUGCAGGCAGGAUGUAGGGCAGCUUCAUGAGGCUGGGUUCCUGGGCGGCUUUGUCUCCAGAUCUCCAUCCCUGAGGUACACAGGUGAGGCAUGGCAGGCUACCGUGUGGGCCCAAAGUCUCCAGCCCUUGGCUGCUCCCUCUCCUCACUUGCAGAGGCUGGGCGAUGCCAGGUGCCAUCGCUGCUUGCAGUUGCCCCUGCAGCCCGUGAGCUGGCAGAAGGCUGGCUCUGUCAAAAUUAGCCCCAAAGGUAGAAGUACAAGAAACAAAUGGCCAGAAAGAAGAGGAAUAGCUGCUCAGUGCUCACGGAGAAUCCCGUCUGCCUUCAGCUGAGUAGCUGUGUCCUAUAGCCCCUGGGUGCUGGGGCUGAGUAGGCUCCUCUUGCCCUACACCUGUUCUGCUUCCUCAGGUAGGUCUCCAGCUUGAGGCCACUCAGCUGCUAGGCACCUUUCCAUUCCCCAGGAAAUGCUGGAAGUAGGUCUGUAGACAAAGAGACCUGCCCCUGUUGCUCAGCCUCCUCUGGUGGCAUUGUGAUGCUGGCCUGACUGCCAUUAUGAUGGCCGCUGGGUGGGGGUGGGGCUGCUUCGGGCAGGGCCCCUCACGCAGAACUCUCAUGGGCAUCAUGAACCAGCUCCCUCCCUAGGCCUGCUGUUACCUGGCCCAGUCUCCCAGCCAGCAUCUUCCCUCCAUUCUGGGCAGGGGAGGGUCUAGGCUGGGAAUUGGCCAAAGCUGUGCUGUCCAGUGUAGUGGCUUCUAGCCACAUGUGGUUCUUGACUUAAAAGCAAAUAUAAUAGCUGCCAAGAGUGACCCUGCCACUCUUGAUGACCCAAAGGAUGACACAGUUUCCCACUGGCGCAGAGAUAAGAAGAUGAAGGAGGAACAAAGCCUUGGGGUGGUGGGAAGAAGAGAAAAGAUAAGCUGGAUGACUGAGCCCUGGGAUGACUCAACAUUUGGAAGUCAAGGUCCAAGUAGAGCCAGGAGACUAAGAGAGAAUGACCAUCGUGGUGGAAGAGAGAAGAAGGAAGGGCAGUUUAGUGCAGACUGAAGUAGGUUUAUGUAAAAUAAAAGGCACAGGCAUGAC